GCGACCCCAGGUCAGGCAAGACUACCCGCUGAGUUUAAGCAUAUCAAUAA
rnacentral:rRNA from 1 species